UAAGUUGCCUGUGACCCACACAUUGCUCAAUAUUUCACUCUGAGAUCAUGUCCACAAAAUGAGCAUGAAGGGAAAAAAAAUAGAGAAAUAAAAGGAGAGGAAUUCUACAACCUCCUGCAUUCAUCCAAAUCUUUGUCAGCAUCUCCAAAGCAAAGAGGUUGUUAAACAGGGAUCUAAACUGCUAGUAAAUGGAGUUGGAGGAAAAUUGAGGAUCGUCAGUCCCACCUUUGGACAAUGUUCUGCAGGCUUCUGUGGUAGUAUGGAGAGUUCAGGAGAAAUGUCUGAGAAGCUAAAGAAGAGGGAAACCACAGCCUAUUCAGUGAGCCAGUGGAAGGAUUUAUUACUCCAUUGUAUAUGCUGCUUGACAUGCUGCCAGCCUGUGACCUUCUGCAAGGCGGUCUCAGGGCCAGCAGUGUAAAGGACGAGAUAGAUCUUCCUCCCACUGUCAUCACAAGCUGAGAGAAGAGAUGCUAACAGCCUCCUGUGUACUGCAGUGGAAGGCAGCUGGCACAGAAAGCGUGGAACCACAGGAAAAGGUGAAGCCAGAGCUUUUGCAAAGGGAGACACUGGCAGUUUGCAGAAGCUUGUUAUGAUUGGUUUUGACUUAGGUUCCUUUGUCUCUUCAGCUUUUAUGGAGAGAAAAGAACAAAAAUGUAGCAAAUGCUGUUUAAAAACAGCUACAAUUUGCUGUAAUGGUGCAUGGUCUCUCAGCUUCAUUUUUAAUUAAUUUCCAAAUCCAGGAAAUCCAUUCAUCACAAUUCUGGAAUGCUGGAAAACUCACUGAGGAACUACAAAGGGCAGGUAAAGCAAAAGCAUUUAAAAUAGUUGCAGAUGAGCUGAUAAGCGGCUCAAAGAAACAGUUAAAUUUGUGUGCAGAUAACUUAACCACAGUAUCUGGAAUGUAUAAACAUAGCACUUUUUUUUUUUUUUCUGGCCUUAAAAUUUGAUCCAAGUCUGGGAGUUAAGAAGUCCCAUUUUGUGUAAUCAGGUUCUGGUUGAACAUGAUUGCUGAAUUAUUUUAAAUUGAAGACACAUGUCUGGAUGUUGAGUUCUGUAUAUUAUUCCAGGAUGGUGUCCAUUAGGUCUUAUCCACAGGGGCUAUCUUCAUUCCUUAUGCAUCAGGAUUAGCAAAUGGUGAAUCAUGAAUAUGGAGGCAGUGAAUAGAAUGUGGUACUAGUUAAAUGGUGAUUUUGGAAAUUAUCUUGCAUGCAUUAUUCAAAACUUUUCAGUCUCUCCUGCAUAGAGUCCCUAAGGCUGUUUCAAAGUGUUAUUUUAAAGCACACUUGUACAAGGCAUUUGCAUUCUUUCAUUUUGAAUCUUGAGUUUAGCAACGAACCAACAUUUGCUUUAACCCCUUGUCAGUCCUAAAGCAUUCUCAAGAGUAUGAGUUGCUCAUCUAAUGGUUGCACUGCCAUAUGCUGUCCUUCUAUAAUAGAUCUGCCCCUGACCUCUGUGUUUUUACAUUGCUUUUUUUACUGGCAGAUGGACCAUUACAUGAAUUGAAACAUAUUUUAAUGGAUACUCCCAGUGGUGAGAGAAUAUUGUCUCAUUAGCUCCAUGGGGAAAACAGUGUAAACCCAAAGCUGAGUAGCUCACCUAUCCAUAUGGUGGGUGAAAAGAGGUGUCCUUACAGCAUAUGCUACAGGCAACGAUGCCUCCUGAAUUGCUAGAAGAUCAAACUUCUGAGGUGUGACAAGGAGACGAUGAACAAAGAGUUUGUCUUUUUCCUGUCUGGGCUGUCCGAAUGCUUGUGUAGCUUUUAAAGACUGGGCUGGAUGCUCUUUGGGUGCCCUGCGGCCAUGUACCACAGAUCAGUCACCACAAGGUGCUCUGCCCUUAUCUUUUCCCCACACAGAGCUCCUGCGGGGAAGGUCUCUGAAAGUCUUUGUUCAUCAGAAUUUUUUUCAGUUAAAUGGAUCUUUUUUGGUUUUUUUUUGUUUGUUUGUUUCAAAUCAAAACAAAAUCGACAAAAAGAAGACUGUCACCAUCAUUUGCAUGUUUCUAUUUUCACAUGUUCGUAACAACCGUAACGGGAAUUUUAUCCAUCUUUUAAUCAAAACUGUUUGAGAAAUCACACCACCCAACUUCUUCACAAAGGAAAACACUCUUGUCAGUGUGUGGACGACUUGAUGACAGAGUCAACAGUGAUUCUGAUAUAACAUUUCAUGAAAAUUGAAAGACAUCCCAAAAGCCUGCAAAGAGGAAGUGGCCACAAAAUAUGAAUACCUAUGGCCCGUUCAAAAUGCAUUCCUCAGUUUUCAGCCUGGGAAAUGACAGAGUUCAUUGUGCAGAUGGGCUCUCUGAUUCCAUCCCAAUGGUAUCUCCAUACACCGCCUCUCUCCCUCCCUCUUAGGCAGGGUGAAUCUGCUGGGCUUUAAAUCUUUCUCAGCCAGGAGGAAUUCCGAAAGGAGGAAAACAGCUGGGAAACACAUAUCCAUGCCUCCUGCAAAGACAUUCAAAAAAGACAAAAUAAAGAGCACCUUCACCCUCACUGAGCUCAGCUAGACUGUGUUGGUGAGUCGAACCAGGGUAGAAUCCAGUCCAGAGUAAUACUGAGGAAGAGGAGAACAUCACAAGAGCACAGAAACAGAGAUGCAGGCUCCUCAUAUACCAGAAGAGGAAAAGGAGAUGGCAGCAUCAUGCAUGCCUCUUUGUUGGCAUAACGAGCAAAGAGAGGUGAGCGGUGUCUGCAUCAGGUGAUAAUAUUCACUAGCAACCAAUAAAUUUACCAUAUUUCAGUUUCCAUGCAGAAAAUGAUUAAUUGUGAUGAUGCCUAGCAAUUAUAUAGCAUGUUGCCUCUUUAGAGACUUACACAUACGAUAAGCAGGUGUGAGUAAUUUGCCAUUGUAGUGGGUGUCUGUAGCUAAAGCUGUUCUUUACUGUUUGAGCUGAAAUGCGUUGCCUGCAUACAUUAAGCAGCGCAAUGCUAAUCCCAUCUUCCUUUUUAAUUCAGGUUUGGUUGAUGAUCUGUGAGAACCAUCUGCACAUUUGAGAUUCAGAGUGUGAAAACCAGGCAUUGUGGAUCAUGGGUUGGUCUCUGGUGUCCUCCAUAUUUUGUGUAGCCAGUGGGGUCCCCAUGGGCACUCUGUAAAUGCCAGUGCCAUGGCUCUGCAUCUUGGGCUUUGCCUUAUCCUUCCUAAAGCACUGCAGCACACACACACCAGGCUUCUUGGACCUCCUGUUUGGAGAAGCUGUGGAUAGCAACACUCAGCACAACCAUUUUUUGUGAUACUCAGGAAAAAGUCUCAAAUGCAGAGGUAGUUUUGCCAUACCUCUGGCUGUCUGCAAUUUUUUUCACUGGGUUUCAAGAUGGAAGAGGUGGUUUCUGAGGUACAACUACAAUUUCUUUCUUGAUGGUAGCACAAUUUGCCCCCAGAGACUAGAAUACCAAUCCACAGAUGCUUGGAAAAUACCCACCCUGCCUCUCAAAACUCUCAUGGCAUGACAGAAUUAAAUACAGAAGGGAAAGAAAAAUCAAGCAUGUCCCUGUUGCUUCUGAAUUUAAAAUGCAGGAAAUAGUGUUUCAAGCAUGGGGCAAAUAUGCCAGAGCUGAGUGUAGGUGUUUUACAGGUCUCUAGCUUACUGCUCACUACCUGCAGACUGUGGCCAUAAUGAAUUACGGGUAGCAUAACCAGAAAAUAGAUACAAAAUAUAUUUCAGUCCAAAAGAAUUAAAAGCCUUACUACCAUGUAACCUCACUUCCAAGGAGAUAAACAGAAUCUCCGGAAGCCGCAUAAGGGUGUCAAACAGUCUAAUGCAAGGAGACAGCUCAAGGGUUUGAACCACCUCCUGUGUUUCUCCCAUCCACUGAGUGCCAUUUCUGUGCAGCUUUACUUGCAUGAAUGCAUGCUAUCGGUACAAAAACUCCACGAGAAAACUUCCAUUCCCUUAUGUGUGUUGGCGUAUAGAACAACACCAUGCCCGUGGUAUACACCUGCAUUUACCAUUAGUUGCUGUCUUAAUAAUAAAUUAUUGAAGGCAUAUUUCCUUUAAUGUUUACCUAAAGAGGGAACAGCUAAGAAAAGCUGCAUGCACUGAAUUCAAGAAGGGGAUAUUUCUUUCCUACUAUAAACAGAACUGAUUAUAAAACCAGAACACAAACUGAGCUCCUUGCCCUUUGGUUUUGUAUGAGGUUACAUUUCUUUGCGAGACUCUAAUUUCUUCAGUUUUUUACUGCAUUCCAACCCAGGGAGAUAUAAACCAAAGCAAACAAAGUACCCCCCAAAGGAUUCUCUCCCCCUAAAGCGGGGCUUCUAUUUUUAAUUCUCCACAGCUUUUAAAACAUUUGAAUGGGAAGCUUCCAUCAGUCUUUAGUGGAAAAAAAUUCCUGCUGGUCUCUCAGGAUAUCCACUCCAGAUAAUCUCAACUGGCAACUCGAUAUAAGACCGAUAUCUCUUCUCAGAGGGGUUCCUUGCUUUGCAUUUCAGCACAUUCUGCCUUUACAAAGUAACUCUUUAAACAGUCAUACUUUCCUCCUUCCAAGAUGAAAUAGGAAAAAGAAGAAGAGGUUAAAAAAAAAGGAAAAAAAAGAUGACCUUCUUGCUUGCUGGCAGUGAUUUUUUCACACUUUAACAGUGAUCUUCUACAAAGUUGGCUCUCAAAAACACACUGCACUAACUUCACUCCGACCAAGAGCAGGAAUGUACGCAGGCAGCGCUGUAAGGAGGUCUCACCUCACCACCGUCUUCCCCCAUCACACCUCCAGGAGCCCUUGCUUGCAGCAUCCUCAAAAGUCUGGACCCUUCUCCAAGCUGAUGCUGAUGGGACUCAGUGGGAAGCAGGAAAGCUCUUACAUCCAUCACAAGUGUGAUACAAAAUAAAAUUGCAAGGAACUGAAAAAGUACUCCAUAUUUCCAACACCAAAGGAAAAGAGUGGUAACAAGUAAAGACCAUAUGUACAUUGUGCCUCAAGAAUUUCAAGGAAGGCUCCUUUAAGAAGCUUAAAGUCUGGCCAUUUAUCUGUACUUCCAAGAAUCUCAAGGCAGGAACUCUCUCCCCAUGCUCCCCAAGGAAGGAACCAAUUGCUUAUCAUGAGGGAAAGUGUGACUGAAAUGUGAUAGCCAAAAAACAAAAGAAAUCUCUAAUAAGUUAGAAAUUCUUUCUUAAACCUAUGGAGCGCAGUCUGCUUGGAGUCUGGCUUAAUCUGUCGCCAUAAAUACAUCUAUUGAGGGAAUUUUCCAUGAGGUUAUCAGACAGCAAAAUUCUACAAGUCACAUCCUUGCUCACUGUGUGAUGCCUCUGGCAGGUUCAACCUGGUUAAUAUUUAUGCUGCAAUCACCAGUGACUUCUUGAAACCCUAAAGGCAAUAUGUCCUCAAAAAAAAAAAAAAAGCCCCAGAGCUCCUGCAGAUGCGCUAUCAUCAUAAAUUCACCCCAAAGUGGAAACUCAAACAAUGGAUCUGUGUUUAUAAACAUGGAAAAUAAAGUAAAUUACUAGAUACAGCUUCCAAGUGUUUAGAGCUGCAAGGUAUCCUCACACACACAAAAGCCCAUAUUCACACUUGCCUGCACCAAAAGAGCUUGCAUGCUUACCUGGGAAUUUGGACUGUGAUUGCUAUUAUCAAGGGGCAAAUUUCUGACCAGUGAUAAUAAAUCGUAACAGUGUUUUUGCUCGAUGGAAUGAUCUCUGAGUGAUUAACACCACCAUUUACCUCCCUGUAGCAACAGUUGUUUCCUAUUGCUGGACAAAGAGAGCACAGAGACAUGUGGGAAGAUUGUGUAGGAUGUGGUAGCUGUUGACAAAAACUUAACUUUUUAGAGGCUACCUAUCUACCUUGAAAUAUGUUCGAUGCCAGAAGGCAGAUAAGGGGUUAAGAGAUUUCCCUCGCCUUAUCUUUCACAUGCUCUUAUCUGCCCAACAGACCAUAAUAAAUCAGAAGACCUCUUCUUCCAUCUGGCUCACUCUAAAUUCCUUGCUUCCACAUGAUUUGGGAAAGUUUUCCUGACCUUUCACGACUUCUGUGAUAUUGCACAGAACUUGAGGUUGGAAGAAGUGCAUGAGGGAAAUGUGGCAGAUAUAAAACAUGCCUACAACUGGGUGAAGCCUUCAGUGGGGUGUCACUCCCAGGAUCUCCCUUGGGAUUUGCUACCUGUGCUCUUUCUUGCCCAAGGUGGCAGUCUACAGGUUAGGCCCACAAUGGAUCCACUGCAGAAAGGGUGGCCAAACGCUGCAGGGCCUGAACACUGCCUUGUGCACUCCCAAAGCCCACUGAACAUCUCUAUGUGAUUAUCAAGAAGCAUGAAAGAGCUGUGUAAAAGAUACCUGAUGUACUGAUCAGCUUCAGCUAUGAAGUGGACAUAAGUCCCAUCCCUCAAGAUAUUCAAGGUCAGGAUGGACAGGGCUCUGAGCAACCUGAUCUGGCUGUAGGUGUCCCUGUUCAUUGCACUGGAGCUGGUCUGGAUGGUCUUUAAGGGUCCCAUUCAACUCAAACAGUUCUGUGAAUUGUCCAUUACAUUACAAUUAGCCCUUGACGUAGAGAAGUUAGAGAUCUUAUGAAAAAAGGCAAAAUUAUUACUCUGAUUUCCCAGUGUUUCCACUCUAAUUUCCAUCUUUCUGCCCCAUCUUUACCACCCAUUCUCAUCACCAAGUCCCAACUCAGGCCACCACUCACCAUCCCUUUCUCCUAAGAAGUUUACACAGGUUCAUACAAUGAAUUUGCCUGCAACAGCAAGUCUGCACAAGACUAUUUUUGUUUAAUAUGCAAAAGUUUAAAAAUACAUUUUUUUUGUUCUGUAUCUACCCUACACAUUCAUUUGCAAGUAGAAAAAUAUGUGCAUACCAUAACAGCUGCCAUGUUGCAAUAGUAACAUUUUUUGCUUAGCCACACACGUGGUGAUACAGUCCCACGUGUUUGGGUUAGUGUGCAUCCACUGUACACCCAGUGAAUGUACAUGUCUUUGCCUUUGUGGUGUACUAAGAGCUAAGUACAAUGCAGGUGUACACACUAAUAAAAAUCAUGAGACAAGUUAUUCGGUGUUCUAACUGUGCUGACUUCACUCAGGCAACUAUAGCACUGAAUCUAGCCCCACAUCUCUGUUUCAUACAUAUUAAAAAACAAAACAAAAAAAAAAAAACUUGAUAGUUUUCAAGGCAGAUGUCUUUCACAUCAGUGUAAAGUAGAAGGAAGAGAUAUCUCUCAGUACCUAAGAAAAAAAAAACAGUCCUAUACUUACACAUGGUAUUUAAUACAUACCGCUAAUGGAAUGAGCUUCAUAAUUUAUUCUGGGGUUUACCUUUUCAUGAACUCUGUCUUGUUCCUGCUCGUGAAAGAUUUUCUGGUGCUUAGAAGAUAUUAAAAGCACAUCAUCUCUGUCUCUCCCUCUUCUCAUUUCUGUGUAUUCACAUAUUGAUAUAUUUUGCUGGUGCACAUGGCACAGCAGCAGCAAUAAUGCUGUUUGCUUCUGCUCUGCUUUUUGUCUCAGGAUCUCAUGCCAAGAGUUAUAAAGCGAAGAGCCUAAAGUUGGGUUUUUUAUAUUCACACUGAGGCCCUUAAAUUAUGGCUUGAGUUUCAGAGGUGCUGACUUUAAGCGGAAUUGGCGGUUUGCAAUACCACUGCUCAGGACACUUAACACCAGAGGAAAGGUUUCACACACUUGUGUCCCACCGCAACCCAUGCAGACCUCGUGGCUGUGGCUGCUGAUGCAGGAUCCAGCAAAGGCAGAUUGCAGAGGUGAGUGCCUGUGAGCUGUGCAGCUGUGGUGUUUGUGGUGCUGGAAAAAAUGAAGGAGAUCCACAAAUCAAAGCAGAUACACAGCAACACAUCUAGGUCUGAAAUGUCACACGUCAAAUCUGGGAUUUCCAGGGGCUUCCAAAAUACCUGCCUGCUAUUCAGGCACCACUUUCCAGCUAAACCUUUUCUGCAGAGCAGCUUCUUCUGCUGACCUGCUUGAAAUGUGUUGCCCUACUUCUGUCUUCUUUUGAUCGCAUAUCUUCUUAACCUCCCACUGACAAAGCCAGGCUGAGCAAGGCCUUGCCCCGGCAGUGCUGGCUGCCCCACAGGUGCGCUCCAUGAAGGGGAUGUCCCAUGGAGAGGGAACAGGAGCAGCGCGGGAAGUGGGGACAUAGGCUCACGCCUGAAAGGAACGGGUGUCUGCAACCUGCUGGGGUUUAUUUUUGUUUUCUUAACUGAAACAGCUCUGUUGGUAUAAAACAUGUGCUAAACCAGGCCUGAAUCUUCUAAGAAAGCUCACAUAGACCUAUUUUAUUCAGCCAUCCUUCUCAUGUUACAGUUAAUGGAAAUAGCAUGUGAUUUUCAAAAGACAAACUUUUGACUGACUAUUCCCGUGUAUAUAUUUCCCUCAAAAUUCUACAUUAUAUGGUAUUCUUUUGCUUCAUUAUUGUUAAAUGAUUUCUGUCAUUUAAUGGCAAUUUGUCCUGUUUACUCAAAGCUCUAAGCAAAGGAAAAUGGAAAAAUGCACACACCGAGAGAAAACCCUAGUUGCUUAUCUCAUUGCACAAAUAUUGUUUUCCUAGGAAAGUGUGGUCCUGAUAGAGUCAAUUAUUCUGCCAGCCCUCUCUCCCAAUUUUUCUGUUCCCCUUUUUAUCUCACAUUUUCCUUGCUCUAUGCUCUGAGUAUUUUAUUGAGAAAACAAGCACACUUGCACAGCCUUCACAGUGCAAAUACUGGAGAGGACACAUUCAUAUGUGUAAACUUCAGAGAGUAUGUAGUUUAUUUUUUGUGUAAUUGAUUUUGUAGUAGAAAGAAGUCACGGUAUGAACUAACAGGAUAAUGUUUUUGAUCAGUUUCCAAUGCUUAAUUACAAGUCUGCUAUAACUAAUUUCCUUCGUGCACUCACAGCUGCUAUUCUUUUGUCACUGGUUUAUUUUUCUUUGAAAAUCUGAAAGGCAUCGAGCUUUUCUCUGAGAGUCGUCUGCCCUGAUUGACUCUUGAAGACACCUCAUUACCACAGUCAUUUUGCAAAGUUGUGUAGCUGUUUGGAACCUCACAAGUAAUUUUUUUUCUUUUUAAUUAAAAAAAAAUGCUGCUUUGAAAUGCUAUGGAAUAUCUGGCUCAUUAGAGCAUGAAACCAGUUGGCUUAGCAAUACAAAAAACCCUUAUGGGAAGAGCAGGAGAAUUUACAGGAUUGGGUGCACUGCUCAUUUGUGAAAGCUUGAUAGUUUGAAAGAAAGCUCCGGAUGAUGAGAUAUUUGGUGGUUUGGUUUUGUUUUGUUUUGUUUUUCCAAAAUAAUCAAUGAAACAUCAUCCUUAACAAUGUAUUUUUGUAGCAAAUUUUACCUGGUGAAAUCAUAGAAAAUCUCCACAAUAUAUAUGUCUAUGUCUGUAGACAUUUCUAUGUUCCAUACAUUAUAAACAGCUUUGCUAAUAUGUUGCAAGGAGUGAAGUGUGAUACUACCACAUGCCUUUGGGUCCCUCUCCAAAGGCAGAACAGUGCAAAACUCAACACACUUGCACAGUAUGAGUUGUCCAUUCAGAGUCAAACUGGGUAAAUGCUGAACCAUAGCAGGACUGGGCAGAAUGUGACCCACUGAUCUUUCCCCAUUUGUUCUUAACAUCAUCCUGUCUCCUGUUUCAGCAUAUGAUGUUCCAUUCCUUAUUUAUUCGAUUGAAACUGAAUUUGGGCUUGUUAUUCUCUGAAUCUGAGUGUUUGACUCUCACUGCCAACCACUCCUCAGUACAUCUUCAAACACUUGAAAUAAUACAGUCAAAUGAGGAGAAAUAAGGUUUCCUGAUGGGUUUAAGAGCCACAGUUCCUACUUUACAAUAGGCAGCUAAGCCAGAGAUGAGUGGGCAACAUAUAUCUCUAGCUCCUAAUGUUAACAAAGGCAACGUUUUAUAUCAAUGAUUACAUGUAAAUGCAAAUGUAUGUAGAUUAUUUACUUGGAUAAGAGAUUUCAUACAUCCAUCUCUGCACCCCUCCUCCUCCCCCUCUCUUUUCACCCAGGAAGAGAUACUAUUGUUAUUCUAGUCAUCUUUCUCUUGAUUUUAUUAUCUAACAGCGCCAUAAAAGUGACAAGAAAAUGGAUUUUUCCGACAACAGUCUCCUGUUCCCAGUGUAAUUUCACGUUGAGCUACAGAUACUGACAACAUCAGAUAGUUUAUACAUCUCUCCUUUAAUUGUAUAGUGCAGCUCCAUUUUCAGAGAAGUGCUCACCACUACAUAAUUAAGAAAAUCUUUAAAGCAUCUGAGUAUUGUAGGAUGUUGGAUCCAGAAAGGAUGAGGUAUGUGAGGCUGUGCUGGGGCUGGCCUGGUCCUCGCUGGAUGUGUGAAGGGUCAAAAACAGGUGUGAGGGAGUGGUGAAGGCCAGCCCCGCCGCCAGGCCACCAGGCAUUGUGCCUGCAUGAGAAGUCUGCAGCUAGGAGGGGCCCAACGUGGCCUUUCAUGGGGGUCUUGCAGAUUUCAACUGGGGCUGGGGGUUUUGGCCAAAGCCUCACCUCGCCGGCAUGAGCUAGGUCAGAGAUAGCUGAAUUGAGAUAAAAGCCAAGUGUGCUGGGUGCGUCCACCUCCUGGCCCCAAGCGGGGCUAGAAACUCAGGGAAACAGACAAAUAGCCCUCAUUAUCUCAGUGCUCCAACUAUGUCAUUUUUUAAUGGGAUAAGAAUGCAGCUCCUACUAAACACAAAAAACGUGUUGUUGUAGAAGUGUCUCCCUCCAAAACACAGCAACAAAGCAAGCUCCCAGCCUUCCUGCACAGUCUGUGCAAUAGGAUUGCAAUAUUUCACUGCUACACAGGGGGAUUCAAAUGCCUCACACUCCAUGGAUUUCUCUCCCUGGGGUAGCAUUGAAAAUCCCAGUAUCAAUCACAGAGCUCACAGAGCGGGCUGUGGCACAGCUUUGUCCUGUGGCCAGGCUGCAGGGACUGGGACAAGGCUGGAGAAUGGGGUGGCUGGGGACACUCAAUGUGUGCCAGGUGCUGCUGGGCACUGGCUGAGGGAGAAACAGGGGGAGAGGUCCAGCACAGUGAUAACUGAGAAGCAUCGCUCCCCUGGGGAAAACGGUUCUGAAAUAAUAAAUAUUUGGAUUGAUUUGGGGUAAUAUUUAACAGAUGUGGACAGAAUAUCCUCCAUUAAAAUAAGUUACUCUUAUAAUUGAAACGACAUUCCUCCUAUCACUAUCUGCAAAUUCAAAAAGCUUAUUUUAGCUUAGGGAUAAAACAAGCUGAAGCAAUGGGUAGUACAGCCAUUUUCCCACUUUUUUUUUCCCCAACAGCUACCUCUCAUCUCUCAGAACUAUUUGUUUUAUUAAGAAAUCUUGUAGUCUGAAGCCAAUUUAUAGGAAGCCCAAAGCUGUGUGUUGCAGUCACUUUCGUAAGGACUAUUUAUUUUUUAGCAGCUCACAAUAAAAAAAAAAAAAAAAAGUGUAGUCUGUUCCAUAUGCAAAGCAAAGGAUUAACCAGGAGAGGAACACUAAUAAAUUUCUUUCCUUCAGGAAAGAGUCAGCAGGCUUGGGGCUUCAAUUUGAUUUAACCUAAUGCUGUUGCCCAUCGCUUCAAAAGAUGCUGCACCCCCUCCAGCUGGUAUCACGAGGAACCUCGUUUGCAGGGAGAAUCACAUGUAGAAUCCUAUCUGCAAACUGGCAUGCAUAAUUACUCCAUGUUUUCUCCAGAAGAGAUUACCCCAUGCUCUCACUCAUCUCUGCAUCAUCCGUGAAGACCUCCUCCAAGGGAAGCGCCAGCUUGCUGCCAUGAUGGUACAUACAUCACGAUGGCACAUACAUCACGGCGCGGUGGCAAAGCCGUCCGGCCUGGCUCCUGACGCAGAGCUGCACUCGGACCUUGCCCCAAGCAAAAGAUGCCACCUCUAAUAUAUGGAACUGUCACGAAUUUGUUUUUUGUCAUAAAUGAAGCAUGAGGCUGUGCUUUAAUUUUCCUCACUGCCCUCUGUCAGGUAAUAACCAUAAAUAUUGUCCUGAAUCAUUAAGUCACAAACUGAAAUGUGAUCCUGCCCAGUUCCCAAUCAGACAGCCAUCUGGAAGAUGAAAGAAGUCUAUUUUCAUUGCAGAAUGAUCCAGACUCUAAUUUGUAGUAACAGUCUUAACAGGCUGUUUCAGAGACAUUAACCAGAGACUGGUGGCAGUUACCCAAGGAGGGGGCACUGGAGGCGCUGCCUUCAGUGUGUGUCACGGGCAGAACACCCAUCACUGCUGUGGGCUCACAGAGUCUGCAUCUUUUAUUCGAACGCCAUGUUUCUAAACAGGCACAGGUUAUGGAUCCAGGGUGGCUGGAAAUAUACUGUGUCGUAAAAAAUGCCAACACGUUUGUGGGAGACAGAAAAUAGUACUUCCACAGAGCCAGCAGUGGUACCGCAGGUCGUAUAAAUGCCUCCUAUCUUAGGGUUAAUUUCAUGCUGAAAGUAAAUAUCUCUAUAUAAAAUAUAUUCAUACAUAUGUAUGUAGGUUGCUUCAAAAGUAAUGCCUCCUAUUUAUUUCCGUGGAAACUAAACAGAUACAAAGAGCACAAUAAUCCUAUUUGAUAGAACAAAU